UUCAUCAGCCAGGGUUCCAAUCAGUGCUGCUGCUGUUGUUCAUAGCACACAAAUUAUAUAUAUACAUAUAUCCAGCACCCGUAGCGGCUAUAUCCUCUUUGUCUAUUAAACUCCCACCAAUCCAACUAUAAUUAGGCCUUUGGGUUCUAUAGUCGCUCACCGUUCAAUCCACGUGGCCCUGGUGCUCUUGGCCCGAGCCCUACACUUAUGAUUUCAAGUUAAUCCCCCGCACACAGGCCACCCCGACACUCAUUUACAGGUAAAAUAUAUGGAUUGGCUUAGCCGAUUUGUGGUCUGACUCGGGGGCUGCUGCCCCAAGUCUGUCGCUAAGGGAAACAAUUUCACCAAGUGUUGGAAAAAAAAAAGUGUUGCAGCGCACUCCGAAGGUUAAGGAUCGCUCAAUUCAGCAUCGGUUUAAAAAAAACAUCCAUCUUUAUUAUUUUUUUUGGUUAAAAAUCAGCAUCCAAGGUCUAACGCAUUUCGCAACAACGUACUUCUCAGAGACCUCAGUAUCCAUUAUACCACCAUGUGUCUUAUACCCAAGAGAAAACCCCUCCCAAGGAACUUGUCAUAUCAAUUAACAUAGGCAAAGUUUCCGCACACCAGAGUGCUUUAAAAUCCAAAAUCUUUAUUGAUCCAUAGUAAUGGGCACACAGCACGUCUAGCUUGACGCGUUUCGGGCACAGACGGCCUUAAUCAUUAGCAUGUCCGUUAUUAUGGAACAAUAAAGAUUUUUUUAUUUUAAAGCACUCCGGUGAGCAGAAACAUUGUCUUUUCUUCUUCCUAUUCAGUGAGGUGUGGGACGCCAAGAGAAUCCAGCACCCAGAGACAGAUCCAUGGGCCGCCUGUAUUGCAAAGAAGGCUAGCGGUCCGGACUUCCCUCGCUGAGAGCCGAUAGGCCCCCGUGACAAUUGCACCUUCACAGCAAUGACUUUGGGUGCCGCUGGCCAGGCUUUGGGUUUACAGAACGUUCAAGCAAGAGACGGGGUAUGUAGGACAGAAAAUAGACAUUCACCAAAAGGCUUAACCUACUUGGCCUUCAAGAUGAUCUUUCAGUGAUAUCUAGGAAAAAAGACACCCAACAUCUUAUCCUAACUGGCCUUCAAACUUGGCAUUCAGGGCAACGGCACUUCCUGCUUUAUGGUGGUCAGCGUGUCGCGGAUCAGUUUGCAGAUCAGGCAGUUGCGGGGCAGGUAGGUAAAAAUGUGGGUGUGGGUUACAGGUCUUGGUAUUAAAAAUAGUUUCCACGCAGGACUCUUCCCCAGGGUUGGGGGCCACCAUACUAAAGUUGUGGUUCGACCUUUGAGUUAACUUUUAGUAUUUUAUAGAAUAGGUGAUUCUAAGCAACUUUUGGUCUUCGUAAUUUAUUUU